UACGUAGGGUGCGAGCGUUGUCCGGAAUUAUUGGGCGUAAAGGGCUCGUAGGCGGUCUGUUGCGUCGGGAGUGAAAACUCAGGGCUUAACCCUGAGCCUGCUUCCGAUACGGGCAGACUAGAGGUAUGCAGGGGAGAACGGAAUUCCUGGUGUAGCAGUGAAAUGCGCAGAUAUCAGGAGGAACACCGGUGGCGAAGGCGGUUCUCUGGGCAUUACCUGACGCUGAGGAGCGAAAGUGUGGGGAGCGAACAGG
rnacentral:rRNA from 1 species